rnacentral:rRNA from 1 species
GACGAGUCUCACGAACGUUAUUCGGAAUUACUGGGCUUAAAGGGUGCGUAGGCGGUGAAGUAAGUCGGGUGUGAAAUACCAUAGCUUAACUAUGGAACUGCACUCGAUACUACUUUGCUAGAGUAAGACAGAGGUGAGUGGAACUGAGGGUGGAGCGGUGAAAUGCGUUGAUAUCCUCAGGAACACCGGUGGCGAAGGCGACUCACUGGGACGGUACUGACGCUGAGACGCGAAAGCGUGGGGAGCAAACAGGG